UACGUAGGGUGCAAGCGUUGUCCGGAAUUAUUGGGCGUAAAGAGCUCGUAGGCGGUUUGUUGCGUCGGCUGUGAAAUCCCGAGGCUCAACCUCGGGUCUGCAGUCGAUACGAGCAAACUAGAGUGUUGCAGGGGAGACUGGAAUUCCUGGUGUAGCGGUGAAAUGCGCAGAUAUCAGGAGGAACACCGGUGGCGAAGGCGGCCCUCUGGACGAGUACUGACGCUGAGGCGCGAAAGCGUGGGGAUCAAACAGG
rnacentral:rRNA from 1 species